AGCGAACGCUGACGGCAGGCCUAACACAUGCAAGUCGAACGAAGUCUUCGGACUUAGUGGCGGACGGGUGAGUAACACGUGGGAACGUACCUUUUGGUUCGGAACAACUCAGGGAAACUUGAGCUAAUACCGAAUGUGCCCUUAGGGGGAAAGAUUUAUCGCCAUUAGAGCGGCCCGCGUUAGAUUAGCUAGUUGGUGAGGUAAAGGCUCACCAAGGCUACGAUCUAUAGCUGGUCUGAGAGGAUGAUCAGCCACACUGGGACUGAGACACGGCCCAGACUCCUACGGGAGGCAGCAGUGGGGAAUCUUGCGCAAUGGGCGAAAGCCUGACGCAGCCAUGCCGCGUGAAUGAUGAAGGUCUUAGGAUUGUAAAAUUCUUUUAGCAGGGACGAUAAUGACGGUACCUGCAGAAAAAGCCCCGGCUAACUACGUGCCAGCCGCCGCAGUAA
rnacentral:rRNA from 1 species